rnacentral:lncRNA from 1 species
UCAUUGUCACUUUUUUUCGGAAUGGAUUACAAGUUUCUAUGUUUUUUUUAUUUUUUUUAUUUGUAAAUUUUUAAAAGCUAAAUUAGUAAUUUGGCAUAGAACCAUAUUAUAUAUGAAUUUGAUUCUCUUGUAGUUGUCAAUAUGAUCAAACAAUGAGUAGCUCGUGUUAGAGUAUUAUCUGAGUUAAAUGUCUCAUAUUGGAUCAAAAAAUGAUUGUUGGGCAACAUAUAUGUG